rnacentral:tmRNA from 1 species
AGGCUUUUCAGCCGAGUGUUUCGUUCCUAUAUUCCGCGUUGUCGGCGCAAGCUGACUAUGGCGAUACACGGUCGUUGGAAUAAGCCCAUCGGACCCGGGGGCGGUACCCGGCGCCUCCACCAGAACCGAUCCGGACGGGUCGGCUGUGGCGGGGGCGAAACAGGAUCGACGAGGGUGUAAAGAACGCGCCGUCGCCCGGCAUGGUACCGCCGUUAUCGGGCCGUACAAUAGUUGCGAACGACAACUAUGCUCCGGUUGCUCAGGCCGCGUAACGCGGUCUGAAAAGCCGAUCCAAGCCCUGACGGGUUAGCUCCGUCAGGCGGGGUUCGGAGGCACCUGGCAACAGAAGCCUCCACU